GGGGCCCGCACAAGCGGUGGAGCAUGUGGUUUAAUUCGAUGCAACGCGAAGAACCUUACCUGGUCUUGACAUCCACGGAAGUUUUCAGAGAUGAGAAUGUGCCUUCGGGAACCGUGAGACAGGUGCUGCAUGGCUGUCGUCAGCUCGUGUUGUGAAAUGUUGGGUUAAGUCCCGCAACGAGCGCAACCCUUAUCCUUUGUUGCCAGCGGUCCGGCCGGGAACUCAAAGGAGACUGCCAGUGAUAAACUGGAGGAAGGUGGGGAUGACGUCAAGUCAUCAUGGCCCUUACGACCAGGGCUACACACGUGCUACAAUGGCGCAUACAAAGAGAAGCGACCUCGCGAGAGCAAGCGGACCUCAUAAAGUGCGUCGUAGUCCGGAUUGGAGUCUGCAACUCGACUCCAUGAAGUCGGAAUCGCUAGUAAUCGUGGAUCAGAAUGCCACGGUGAAUACGUUCCCGGGCCUUGU
rnacentral:rRNA from 1 species